AACGAACGCUGGCGGCAUGCCUAACACAUGCAAGUCGAACGAGACCUUCGGGUCUAGUGGCGCACGGGUGCGUAACGCGUGGGAACCUGCCUUUAGGUUCGGAAUAACUCAGAGAAAUUUGAGCUAAUACCGGAUGAUGUCUUCGGACCAAAGAUUUAUCGCCUUUAGAUGGGCCCGCGUUGGAUUAGCUAGUUGGUGGGGUAAAGGCCUACCAAGGCGAGGAUCCAUAGCUGGUCUGAGAGGAUGAUCAGCCACACUGGGACUGAGACACGGCCCAGACUCCUACGGGAGGCAGCAGUGGGGAAUAUUGGACAAUGGGCGAAAGCCUGAUCCAGCACUGCCGGGUGAGUGAUGAAGGCCUUAGGGUUGUAAAGCUCUUUUAACCGAGAUGAUAAUGACAGUACCGGGAGAAUAAGCCCCGGCUAACUCCGUG
rnacentral:rRNA from 1 species